rnacentral:misc_RNA from 1 species
AACGCACAUUGCGCCCCUUGGUAUUCCGAGGGGCAUGCCUGUUCGAGCGUCAUUUCAAACCCUCAAGCCUCGGCUUGGUGUUGGGCAUCGUCCGUCAAAGGACGCGUCCCGAAACCCGUUAGGCGGUGGCGCCCAGCUCCUCAGCGUAGUCAUGUCAUUCCGCUCUGGACCGUUGGGAGUCGCCCGCCGGACAACCUCAUUUUUUAAUCUAUGGUUUGACCUCGGAUCAGGUAGGGAUACCCGCUGAACUUAA